AGCGUAUACAGUAAAUCAAGUGAUGAGAAGGUGAAAACGCCACAGCGGCCGGAAAACUGUGUUCGCGUGCGUCGAAAAUGUUCACAUUUGUUCUACCCUCCUACAUGCCAUCGCCACCCUCGCCACUUCGAGAAUUCAUUCUAUUUUGCCCGUUUUAUGAGCAUUUAAUAUCUUACCGAAUUCAAGUAAUGCAUGCAAAACACGGAAAAGAAAUAGCUUUCACCUUUGCAAAGAGUUGUUUUGGGAGAUACACCCGCAGAAACUA
rnacentral:lncRNA from 1 species